CUUCGGUUCCGCAGGAGAUCACCUUCUUCAACAAACUAAUCAUGGAGUGCGCAAUGAUGCUAAAACGUAAGGCUUGUUUCUCAAAACAUUCGCAGUGGCUGCCUAAGUGCUUUCGCUUUCGCCAGGCUUGAGAGCAUAUGCUGCAUUUUUCCUUCCUUGGAUGUCUGAGCUGCUCUCUCACUAUUUCAUUUUUAAAAUUUUUGAUCAAUUGAAACUUAAAUUUAAGAUUAUUUUGAUUAAAAAAAAAAGUAAUCGUAAUGUCAUUGACUUUGAGAA